rnacentral:rRNA from 1 species
UACGUAGGGUGCGAGCGUUAAUCGGAUUUACUGGGCGUAAAGCGUGCGCAGGCGGCCCGUUAAGACAGGUGUGAAAUCCCUGGGCUCAACCUAGGAAUUGCGCUUGUGACUGGCGGGCUCGAGUACGGUAGAGGGGGGUGGAAUUCCUGGUGUAGCAGUGAAAUGCGUAGAGAUCAGGAGGAACACCGAUGGCGAAGGCAGCCCCCUGGGCCUGUACUGACGCUGAGGUACGAAAGCGUGGGGAGCAAACAGG